GACGAACGCUGGCGGCAUGCCUUACACAUGCAAGUCGAACGGCAGCACGGGUGCUUGCACCUGGUGGCGAGUGGCGAACGGGUGAGUAAUACAUCGGAACGUACCUUAUCGUGGGGGAUAACGCAGCGAAAGCUGUGCUAAUACCGCAUACGCCCUGAGGGGGAAAGCGGGGGAUCGAAAGACCUCGCGCGAUUAGAGCGGCCGAUGCCUGAUUAGCUUGUUGGUGGGGUAAAAGCCCACCAAGGCGACGAUCAGUAGCUGGUCUGAGAGGACGAUCAGCCACACUGGGGCGGAGACACGGCCCAGACUCCUACGGGAGGCAGCAGUGGGGAAUUUUGGACAAUGGGGGCAACCCUGAUCCAGCAAUGCCGCGUGAGUGAAGAAGGCCUUCGGGUCGUAAAGCUCUUUUGUCAGGGAAGAAACACCGGCUCUAACACAGUCCGGGAAUGACGGUACCUGAAGAAUAAGCACCGGCUAACUACGUGCCAGCCGCCGCCGUAA
rnacentral:rRNA from 1 species